rnacentral:tRNA from 1 species
GCCUGGGUGGCUCAGCGGUUGAGCAUCUGCCUUCAGCUCAGAGCGUGAUCCUACGGUCCUGGGAUCGAGUCCCACAUCAGGCU